rnacentral:lncRNA from 1 species
GACCACCAAAAUAACAACUACCUACCAAAAAAGCACCUUCAAAAGAACAAAAAAUCAGAGGGUGAUAAUAGAAUACAGUAUGAGACAUUUCUGUUGAUGGGUAAGAAUCAUCACUCUGAAACAAGGCUGCCUGAAUCUGGAUCCUGGCUCUACCGCUUUCCAGGUCAGUGGUCCUGAACAAGUUAUUGAAAACUGCUCUGAG